AUGGCCCCACUGCUCUCCCAACCAGGAACAAGGGACGUAUUUUUCCAACUAGAUUCUGGCAACCUUUAGUUUUGACUUCUCCACAGACACACGCCCUCCUGCAUCUCACUGCUGUCUCUCAACACAUAUUCCAGAAGUGGGGAAGAGGAGGCAAUUUGGACACUGUCAAACGGGAGAGGUGGUGUGUGGUGACGGAUAGCAGCCCUGGUGGCCUGUCCUGAGUCUGAUGGAGAGCCGAGGCAGGGCUCCCAUCACAGCUCUUCAGAAUCCUAUGGGCCUCCUGCGGAGACAGAGGCACAACAGGCACCAAGGGAAGGAGGACUUUCCACAUCCACAAGCAGUCUAUGCAAACCUACCCAAAGGCCAAGGGAGCUGAGAGCGUGAGCCACCGCACCUGGCCAUUCAUGGUGAUUCUAUCUCCUAAUAGCCCUGGAAUCCUUCCACUUCUCGCCAUUUCCACUGCCACUACGGUAGUCCGAGCUAGCACUGUUUCUGCCUGGAGACUGUGUAGCUUUCUCUGUGGACUCCCAUGUCCUCUCCUGCCUCCCUCCUCUCAGAGUGAUUUCUCAAAAAUGCAGACCCCCUCAUGUCUAUCUAUCUGCUGUAUAAACCCCUCCAAAUGGCUUCCGUUGCUCUUAGAAUCAAGUCCAGAUUCCUGUUCUGUUAGGCCUUCGAUUUUGCCUGUCCUGUUUCCCAGUUAUAUUAUACUUGAUGUUCCAGACAGACUCACUCACCUUUGUUUAGCUCUUUACCAUGUCUCUUGCCUCUGAGGCUUUGCAAAUAUUGUUGUUUUUCUAGAGUGCCACUCACCUUCAUGUAACAAACUGCUACUCAUCCUUCAGGUCUCAGCUCACUCCGAGAAUCCUUCCCUGAUCCCAAAAGUCUGGGCCACAUCCCCUGCUAUGAGCUCCACGGCACCCUGAGCUUCCCCUAAAAGUCACUGGAUUGAAAUCACUUGUUCCAAGUCUAUCUCCCUCAUGUGUGUCCCUCAGGAGGAGGCCCUUGACAAUGUUGUUCCCUGAGUGACAGUAUGGGCAGGGCUGUUUCACAGUGUUCUGUCUCAUUCUGUAGUCGCAGGCAUUCCUAGUGGGCUGCUCACACGGAAAGGUUUGUUUGGUUUCCACCACCACAGGGUCUUACAUACAGCAGGUGCUGGGAGCACACUGCUAGCCAGGCCCCAGGAUACUGACCACCCAGCUGCCGUGGGAGACAUUCCUUCACCAGGCUCACCACUGACUGAUGCCCACCCCUCUUCUUUCCAGUCUUUCUCCAUUAUCUAUGUUCUAGUUUGAGCAGUGUCCCAGACACAGUUCAGAACGAAGUCCCUUGGUGGGCUGGCCUGUUGGAGAGCAGAGGGUGCCCUGGCGGGAAGCCUCUCUAAAACAGAUGGCCCCUACCAGGUGGUCCCAUCUGGAUGCUCUCACUCACACUCCUUUUCUGUGCUUAGCCCCUGCCUGCUGCCUCCCCAGCCAGUAGUGCUCCUUCUAGCAACUGAGGAUGACAGUAAUGUGUGCUUAGUUCAGUGAUGUGUCUUUUUCUGUGCAACUGAAGGGCCCUGUUGGCUGCCAGGCAAAUGUUAAACUAAGCGGGAAAAAAAAAAAAGAAAAGAAAAAAUGUUAAACCAAGCAAGAAAAGAGGCCGGGCCCGGUGGCUCACACCUGUAAUCUCAGCACUUUGGGAGGCCGAGGCGGGUGGAUCACAAGGUCAAGAGAUGGAAACCAUCCUGGCCAACAUGGUGAAACCCCGUCUCUACUAAAAAUACAAAAAUUUGCCAGGCGUGGUGGCCUGCGCCUGUAGUCCCAGCUACUUGGGAGGCUGAGGCAGGAGAAUUGCUUGAACCUGAGGGACGGAGGUUGCAGUGAGCCUAGAUCGCGCCACUGCAUUCCACCCUGGGCAGCUGAGUGAGACUCCAUCUCAAGAAAGAAAAGAGACUUACUGGUUCUCCCUGUCUUUCCACUUACACAGGGCCAGUCCCCUUCAUUUGACCUGAUAACAAGAACUCGUGACUUUAACUGGACAAAUGAGGUAAAAAGGGGAAAUGCUUGAGAGGGUGUACAAAGUCCAAGCACCCAUGAACCCAAUCCACUAAUUCACUUUUGUAUUAAGAGAAAAAAAUGUAUGUCAAUACUUACUAAUUUUAACAUUCAUAUGUAUUAAUUUGUUCAGCAUAUAUUUAUUGAGCACCUACUAGGUGCCGGGCACUGUGCUAGGUAUUAGGACACGGUGGGGAGCAAAAAUGGGUCUCCUAUCCAUGGAACUUACACACUAACAGGGAGACAGAUCUUUGAUCAAAGAAACAAUUCAGGCCGGGCACAGUAGCUCACGCCCGUAAUCCCAGCACUUUGGGAGGCCGAGGCGGGCAGAUCAAGAGGUCAGGAGUUCAAGACCAUCCUGAUCAACAUGGCGAAACUGUCUCUACUAAAAAUAUAAAAAUUAUCGCGCCACUGCACUCCAGCUUGGGCGACAGAGACUCCCUCUCAAAAAUAAUAAAAUAAAAUAAAAUAAAUAAAAAUAUAAAAAUUAGCCAGACAUGGUGGCACGUGUCUGUAGUCCCAGCUACUCGGGAGGCUGAGGCAGGAGAAUUGCUUGAACCCGGGAGGUGGAGGUUGUGGUGAGCUGAGAUCACGCUAGUGCACUACAGCCUGGGCAACAGAGGUAGACUCCAUCUCUAAACAAAAACAGUUCACAGUUCAUUGAUUGCAAUGGUGAAAAAUAAAGUACAACAGAGACUUGGGCUGAAAAGGGAGGUAUGUGGUGCUACUGAAAUAACCUCUCACAAAGGAUUUGAGCAGCGCUAUUGACCCAGCUGAAACCCAAAGGAAGGACUUGAUCACUAGGUGUGUAUGUUGUUGUAAAUUGUUUUUGCUUUUAGACCUCAGGUUUAGAGAACUAAGGUCAUCAUGACCCUGGGUUCAUGGCACAUUGUAUCAUCAAAGGCCCACUUGGGCACUUUCUUAUUAACCUUUCAUCUCCAUUUUUCCUUCCCAUUCCCUGUUUCCCCAUACGUGGUUAAUGAUGAACUUAUGAGAGAACCUGUUCUGUCUGGCUUUCUCAGAGAAAGCAGGUAGGUUGGGAGUUUGCCAAAUGGGUAUGAUGAAAAGGUCAUAGCUCAAGUGAAGGGGUUUUGGAAAGGCUGUUACUGGAAGCUGGAUAAGGAGGGAAGAAAAGGAGCAAUGGAUUGGGGUAAAGUAAUUAUUGCACUGGAGGUCCUAAUUACUUUGAAAUCUCAGAGUAUUGUGGAUAAAGAAGAAAGAUGGAAGGAAAGGGCCAGGCAUGGUGGCUUAUGCCUGUCAUCCCAGCACUUUGGGAGGCCAAGGUGGGUAGAUCACUUGAGGUCAGGAGUUUGAGACCAUCCUGGCCAACAUGGUGAAACCCCAUCUCUACUAAAAAUACAAAAACUAGCCAGGUAUGGUGGCACAUGCCUGUAAUCCCAGCUACUUGGGA
rnacentral:lncRNA from 10 species